AUUGAACGCUGGCGGCUGGCCUAACACAUGCAAGUCGAACGAGUGGCGGACGGGUGAGUAAUGUAUGGGAAACUGCCUGAUGGAGGGGGAUAACUACUGGAAACGGUAGCUACUACCGCAUACCAUCAGAUGUGCCCAGAUGGGAUUAGAUAGUUGGUGGGGUAACGGCGCACCGAGUCGACGAUCCCUAGCUGGUCUGAGAGGAUGACCGGCCACACUGGAACGGAGACACGGCCCAGACUCCUACGGGAGGCAGCAGUGGGGAAUAUUGGAAAAUGGGCGCAAGCCUGAUGCAGCCAUGCCGCGUGUAUGAAGAAGGCAUUCGGGUGGUAAAGUACUUUCAGCGGGGAGGCGUUACCCGCAGAAGAAGCACCGGCUAACUCCGUGCCAGCAGCCGCGGUAAUUC
rnacentral:rRNA from 1 species